AUGGGUUUGCUGUGGAGAUCCAACACACGUACACAGAUUCACUGUCUUCAGAAUUCACUCAAGCAACAAUGACCAGGGUGGGCAUUUAUCGCUAUUCCGCCCCUGUGGAGUUCAGAGUCUUUGAAUCAAAGUUCAAGCUGGCUACAUGAUUUCAGAAAGGCUAAAACCAGGAUGAAUGCCCACAUUUGAGGUAAUUAUUGCCAUUAGGUCACAGUUUGUGUAAUGUAAGUGUAUUUAAAUCCUUCUUUUAAAAAAGCAAAAGUAUCCCAGAGUACCAGGGGAUACCCAUUGAAGCAAUCAGAAUCCAGAAUCCUGAUCAGUGGGUUUGCUUCCAAAGGAGCCAGUGGUCCCGGAGCACAAGGCACUCCCAGGACAGCCGCCAACCAGCCUAGAGCUCAGGCAAGCAAGCCUGCAACAAGCCUUUUUUAAUUUUUAAAAUUGUUUUACAGAAAAGGAAAAU